AUUGAACGCUGGCGGCAGGCCUAACACAUGCAAGUCGAACGAGUGGCGGACGGGUGAGUAAUGUCUGGGAAACUGCCUGAUGGAGGGGGAUAACUACUGGAAACGGUAGCUAAUACCGCAUACCAUCAGAUGUGCCCAGAUGGGAUUAGCUUGUUGGUGGGGUAACGGCUCAACAAGGCGACGAUCCCUAGCUGGUCUGAGAGGAUGACCAGCCACACUGGAACUGAGACACGGGGCAGACUCCUACGGGAGGCAGCAGUGGGGAAUAGUGCACAAUGGGCGCAAGCCUGAUGCAGCCAUGCCGCGUGUAUGAAGAAGUCAUGCGGGUUGUAAAGUACUUUCAGAGGGGAGGCGUUACCCGCAGAAGAAGCACCGGCUAACUCCGUGCCAGCCGCCGCGGUAAUUC
rnacentral:rRNA from 1 species